rnacentral:rRNA from 1 species
UACAGAGGUCUCAAGCGUUGUUCGGAUUCAUUGGGCGUAAAGGGUGCGUAGGCGGCGCGGUAAGUCGGGUGUGAAAUCUCGGGGCUUAACUCCGAAACUGCAUUCGAUACUGCCGUGCUUGAGGACUGGAGAGGAGACUGGAAUUUACGGUGUAGCAGUGAAAUGCGUAGAUAUCGUAAGGAAGACCAGUGGCGAAGGCGGGUCUCUGGGCAGUAACUGACGCUGAGGAGCGAAAGCGUGGGGAGCGAACAGG